UACGUAGGGGGCAAGCGUUGUCCGGAGUUACUGGGCGUAAAGCGCGCGCAGGCGGCUAUCCAAGUCAGUGGUGAAAGCCCGGAGCUCAACUCCGGAACUGCCAUUGAAACUGUUUAGCUUGAGGAUGAGAGAGGUGAGUGGAAUUCCCAGUGUAGAGGUGAAAUUCGUAGAUAUUGGGAAGAACACCGGCGGCGAAGGCGGCUCACUGGCUCAUUACUGACGCUCAGGCGCGAUAGCGUGGGGAUCAAACAGG
rnacentral:rRNA from 1 species